UCGAGCGGAUGAAGGGAGCUUAGCUCCCUGAUUCAGCGGCGGACGGGUGAGUAAUGCCUAGGAAUCUGCCUGGUAGUGGGGGACAACGUUUCGAAAGGAACGCUAAUACCGCAUACGUCCUACGGGAGAAAGCAGGGGACCUUCGGGCCUUGCGCUAUCAGAUGAGCCUAGGUCGGAUUAGCUAGUUGGUGAGGUAAUGGCUCACCAAGGCUGCGAUCCGUAACUGGUCUGAGAGGAUGAUCAGUCACACUGGAACUGAGACACGGUCCAGACUCCUACGGGAGGCAGCAGUGGGGAAUAUUGGACAAUGGGCGAAAGCCUGAUCCAGCCAUGCCGCGUGUGUGAAGAAGGUCUUCGGAUUGUAAAGCACUUUAAGUUGGGAGGAAGGGCAGUAAGUUAAUACCUUGCUGUUUUGACGUUACCGACAGAAUAAGCACCGGCUAACUUCGUGCCAGCAGCCGCGG
rnacentral:rRNA from 1 species